AGUGAACGCUGGCGGCAGGCCUAACACAUGCAAGUCGAACGGCAGCACAGUAAGAGCUUGCUCUUACGGGUGGCGAGUGGCGUACGGGUGAGGAAUACAUCGGAAUCUACUUUUUCGUGGGGGAUAACGUAGGGAAACUUACGCUAAUACCGCAUACGACCUACGGGUGAAAGCAGGGGAUCUUCUGACCUUGCGCGAUUGAAUGAGCCGAUGUGGGAUUAGCUAGUUGGCGGGGUAAAGGCCCACCAAGGCGACGAUCCGUAGCUGGUCUGAGAGGAUGAUAAGCGACCAUGGAACUGAGACACGGUCCAGACUACUACGGGAGGCAGCAGUGGGGAAUAUUGGACAAUGGGCGCAAGCCUGAUCCAGCCAUACCGCGUGGGUGAAGAAGGCCUUCGGGUUGUAAAGACCUUUUGUUGGGAAAGAAAAGCAGCAGGUUAAUACCCCGCUGUUCUGACGGUACCCAAAGAAUAAGCACCGGCUAACUUCGUG
rnacentral:rRNA from 1 species